rnacentral:rRNA from 1 species
UACGUAGGGGGCAAGCGUUAUCCGGAAUCAUUGGGCGUAAAGCGCGUGUAGGCGGUUCCGUAAGUCCGCUCUGAAAGCCCAGGGCUCAACCCUGGGAGGCGGGUGGAUACUACGGAACUGGAGUACGGAAGAGGAGAUUGGAAUUCCUGGUGUAGCGGUGAAAUGCGCAGAUAUCAGGAGGAACACCGAUGGCGAAGGCAGGUCUCUGGGCCACUACUGACGCUGAGAAGCGAAAGCAUGGGGAGCGAACAGG